rnacentral:rRNA from 1 species
UCGAACGCGAAGCCCGGGCAACUGGGUGAGUAAAGUGGCGCACGGGUGAGUAAUACGUGAGUAACCUACCCUUCAGUGGGGAAUAACUCCUCGAAAGGGGAGCUAAUACCGCAUAAGACCACGAUUUCUCUAGCGAUCGAGGUCAAAGGUAGCCUCAUCAGUCAAAGUGUUUACGUGGUUAUUUCCUUUGGAAAUAUGGACGUGAAUGCUUUACCGAGAGAAGCUGUCGCUGAAGGAGGGGCUCGCGUCCCAUCAGCUAGUUGGUAGGGUAAUGGCCUACCAAGGCUACGACGGGUAGCUGGUCUAAGAGGACGGCCAGCCACACGGGAAUUGAGAUACGGUCCCGACUCCUACGGGAGGCAGCAGUGGGGAAUCUUGGGCAAUGGGGGAAACCCUGACCCAGCGACGCCGUGUGGGGGACGAAAGCCUUCGGGUUGUAAACCCCUGUUAGGUGGGACGAAUGCUUUUCCGUGAAUAACGGGGAAGUUUGACGGUACCAUCANAGAAAGCCCCGGC